rnacentral:rRNA from 1 species
CCUACGGGAGGCAGCAGUGAGGAAUAUUGGUCAAUGGACGAGAGUCUGAACCAGCCAAGUAGCGUGCAGGAUGACUGCCCUAUGGGUUGUAAACUUCUUUUAUAUGGGAAUAAAACGUUCCACGUGUGGGAUUUUGUAUGUACCAUAUGAAUAAGGAUCGGCUAACUCCGUGCCAGCAGCCGCGGUAAUACGGAGGAUCCGAGCGUUAUCCGGAUUUAUUGGGUUUAAAGGGAGCGUAGGUGGAUUGUUAAGUCAGUUGUGAAAGUUUGCGGCGCAACCGUAAAAUUGCAGUUGAAACUGGCAGUCUUGAGUACAGUAGAGGUGGGCGGAAUUCGUGGUGUAGCGGUGAAAUGCUUAGAUAUCACGAAGAACUCCGAUUGCGAAGGCAGUUCACUGGACUGCAACUGACACUGAGGCUCGAAAGUGUGGGUAUCAAACAGGAUUAGAUACCCCUGUAGUC